rnacentral:rRNA from 1 species
UGGGGAAUAUUGGACAAUGGGCGCAAGCCUGAUCCAGCCAUGCCGCGUGAGUGAUGAAGGCCCUAGGGUUGUAAAGCUCUUUCACCGGUGAAGAUAAUGACGGUAACCGGAGAAGAAGCCCCGGCUAACUUCGUGCCAGCAGCCGCGGUAAUACGAAGGGGGCUAGCGUUGUUAGGAUUUACUGGGCGUAAAGCGCACGUAGGCGGACUAUUAAGUCAGGGGUGAAAUCCCGGGGCUCAACCCCGGAACUGCCUUUGAUACUGGUAGUCUUGAGUUCGAGAGAGGUGAGUGGAAUUCCGAGUGUAGAGGUGAAAUUCGUAGAUAUUCGGAGGAACACCAGUGGCGAAGGCGGCUCACUGGCUCGAUACUGACGCUGAGGUGCGAAAGCGUGGGGAGCAAACAGG